rnacentral:lncRNA from 1 species
CCUGUGUUGGUGGAAGCCACCCUGUUCGUCCUUUCCUCAGCAUUAGUCGAGAGAUGCCUUCGGAAUGCGGCGCGGCCGCAGGAUGCAUCCUCGGUCGAUGACUUUGGAACUCGCAUGAGUUCGUGGCGCGUCGCGAAGUCCCCAAACACAGCGAAUUCAGCAGGCAACGCAGUUUGGUCUUGUCACGGCCGUGUACUACGCCUGUUCC